UGCCAGCCGCCGCGGUAAUACGAAGGGUGCUAGCGUUAUUCGGAAUUAUUGGGCGUAAAGGGCGCGCAGGCGGUCUUGUCCGUCAGGUGUGAAAGCUCGGGGCUCAACCCCGGAAGUGCACUUGAAACAGCAAGACUUGAAUACGGUAGAGGAGAGAGGAAUUCCUGGUGUAGAGGUGAAAUUCGUAGAUAUCAGGAGGAACAUCAGUGGCGAAGGCGACUUGCUGGUCUAAUACUGACGCUGAGGAGCGAAAGCAUGGGUAGCAAACAGGAUUAGAUA
rnacentral:rRNA from 1 species